rnacentral:rRNA from 1 species
CAGCAGCCGCGGGAAUACGAAGGGUGCAAGCGUUAAUCGGAAUUACUGGGCGUAAAGCGUGCGUAGGCGGUGAGUUAAGUCUGCUGUGAAAUCCCCGGGCUCAACCUGGGAAUGGCAGUGGAUACUGGCUCGCUAGAGUGUGUCAGAGGAUGGUGGAAUUCCCGGUGUAGCAGUGAAAUGCGUAGAGAUCGGAAGGAACAUCUGUGGCGAAGGCGACUAUCUGGGCCAACACUGACACUGAGGCACGAAAGCGUGGGGAGCAAACAGGAUUAGAUACCCCAGUAGUCCCUGUCUCUUAUAA